GCCAAAGUAGCUACCUAAAUGAAGUUUUAGCAAAAAAACUUCAACUUAUUGAAAGAACACACCAUUGAUCACAUACACAUUUCAAUACACACCGGUCUGGUUUAGUGACAUCUCAAUAUGAGGAGCUCCAAGAGGACAGAAAACAACUUUAUAGUUAGAUCCAGCAGGACAAGUGAAAGUACUUGUUGGAUCAUCUUGAGGGUAACUGUAUGAAUCAUGACACCUAUCCUUAAAAAACCUUGAGAAUUUAGUGGGCCCACAGCUUCCUUGGCCAUUAGUGCAACAAUAUUCAUUGGUCUUAAAAACAGUACAAGGGUUGUUACAGCCACCUUGAGUCCUCAAUUCGUUAGGGCACUGUCCGUUGAUAUCGGCAGUGCAACUGAUUUUAUGACAUCCACCGUUAAGAGGGAAGAAAUCCAUUGGGAUAUUGAAACCAUCGACAAGAGAGAUGUCGUAGAAAUCUUGAUUUCCGAAUUGGUUUAACGCAUAUUCGGCUAAUGUGUUUGGUGGGACACCCCAACCGGUACAUUGGAGUCCACCGGUGCAGUCUCCUGUUUGGCAACGGCCACGACCGCUGCCAUCAAAGUUGCAACCGGUACGACCCCAAAUACGAGCCAUGGCGGUACCAGGAUUAACCCAGAGGUUCCAUGUUUGACCGCGGUCGAGGCGGCGACCACCACCUGGGCUAGCAGCUGCCCAAACGGUGUAAGGGCAAUUGUUGACGAUCUCAAAGUUGGCUGCUUGUGAAGGAGUGAGGGUGAGUAGUAGGGAGCAUAGUGUGAAUGUGAGGAUUGAUAAGAAAGUCAUUUUGUUAUAUGGAUAUUGGAUGUAUGCUAGUUUAGGUUUAUAUAGCCAAUUUUGAGUAAGGAUGGGACUCGGCGGCCAUCACAUUUGGGCAAUUAUAAUAUUCAUUUUUUCCCGUCACUUUCUCACUAGUGCUUAAAAUCAUGAACUUUAGUCAAUAAUCAAUAUCUUAGAUAGGUAGAUACUUGACUAUUUUGUUGUUAUAUAGAGUUUAAUACAUAGCUAUUAUUAUUAUUUAUUUUUUUAAUGUCAUAGCUACUUACUUGAAAGUUGAAACAUUGUAAAUUCUUACAUAAAAGUCUUCUUUAGGUGUUCUUUAAGGAUUCAUAAUUAAAAAAAUAUUAUUUAAACAAGUUAAAUAGUUCACAAUACACCAAAUACAUAAAUUUUGUAAAAACUUAUCAUUUUAGGUGAUUAAAAAGUGUUAUGAGGAUAUUAGUUAAUAUUUCAAUGCAUAAAUAUACUUCUCAAAUGAAUACUAAAUUUAUGACGAAAAAAAUACAGGGGGCUUCUACGGUGCAGUCAGAAAAUUGACUUUUUUGAAAAAGUUAAUUUUAAUUUUAAUGUUUGAUUCAUUUUUAAAUUGUUGAUUACUGAUUAAUGAUCAAUAGUAAUUCAUCUAGUAAUGCUUGUAACAUCUUGGACUUACAGGUACUAUUUUAUCGUUGACAUCUUUAACAUGCAAACAUAUUUGAUGAUAUUAUCUGAUAGUCUUAAGUGUUACACUUUAUGGAAUGUUAAACUUGAAACAAGGUAAAAUAAAAUUAGAUUAAGUGUAGUCAUUUUCAUAACUUCACCAUAGAAUUUUCCAUACAACCAUCUUACUAUCAUCAUUAUAAACAAACAAAAAUUAUUUUUUAGAUUUAUUAAAUAAUCUAUAAAAUAGUUUUUUUUUUGCUUAUCACAAUAACUGAAGGAUGUAGUAUAUACCUACCUCAAUCGAUAAUCAACUUGUUUUUUGCACAAUAAGUGAGGGGCUUAUACUCUUAUAUCCUAAUAAUACAUAAUUUUUAUUAUAGAAACAAGCGGGUUAGUAGUUUGCUAUGCUCGUAGUUUCCUGACAUUAUUACUUUUCAAUUUCUAUCACUAUUUCUCAUCAUAUUACCCAACAAAUUGCGUAUUUCUUCAUAAUUUUCUUCUCUAAUCUUUGCUGGCAUUGAGAAUAUAGAAAAAGAAAAACAAGUUGACCUAGCUUUCAUAAUGAAAAGGUCCCCGGCGGCUAUCUGCCUAACUAGCUCAGCUCGAUCUAUAAUGAAGAUAAUAUCAUAAAACAUGAUGUCAUUUUAAUUUAAUACAAGUUGAGUGUUACAAGUUUUAUACACUUUCUAAAAAAAAAAAAAAUUAUAAACUAGUACUGUACGGUCGAUAUUUUAUUUGUUUGUUCCCCGAAUUCUUCACUUCUUUAAUUUAUUGAAUGAAAUUUUUGUCGCUAGAAUAAUUAUUGAAAAAAUAAUUCAUUUCAUUCGUCUUUAUUUGAAAAAAAAAAAAAUUCUUCACAUUUUCUUUGUAUCUCAAUAUAAAUCUCUUUACCAACUUCUCUCACAUUUAAUAAUAAAUACUAUCUAAUGAGAAAGAGAAAAGUGAGAACUUUCAGUAAGGUAAAAGAGAAUGAAAUCUUGUGUGUAUUCAUUUUGAUCAAUAUUCUGUUCAGAUCUUUACUAGUGUACACCUUUCACUUAUAUACAAUCUAAUGUGUUGUUCUACGCAAAAUCUAAUGAGUAUAUAUAGUUUUUCCUUCAAAAAAAUGAUUAUAUAGUUUUCUUACAACAAAAUAAUUUCGUUUAUUUAAAUUGAUAGAUUACAUCGAUAGAUCAUAAACUCUUCUACUAUCUUCAUAUUGGAAUUUUUAGAGAACCCAUAGCUCUUGAUUCAAUUUUAUUUAAAAUAAACUUUAAAAAAAUUGCAGCCUACCUAAAAAAAAAAAAAAAAAAAAAAAAAAAGUAGCCUUGUCUAUGUAGCUUUGUUGUUAAAUAACUUUUUGAAGUAUUCAUGUAACUAAAAGUUGUGUUGCUUAAUAAUGUGUCUAUUCUACCAAGUACCAAACAAACAUGAUAAUGUGUUUGUUAAGUUUGUUAUUGGAAGUCCAAGCCACCAAAAUGAUCAUAAACUUUGUAAUAUAUAUGACCUCAAAAUUAUCAUUUAUGUUACGAAAAUUCUAAAAAACGAUCCUUGAAUUUGUAAAACAUUACCAAAGUUGGUAUAUUUACGUUCCUCCGUCAGUUGACACCUCUUUUCCAUACUCUUAAUACGUAAAACCUUUUUUUUUCUUUCCAUAUGUAUUACCUACAAUCUCCCUUAACAUUCUUCCACAAACAUCCUCCCAUUUUCUUCUAUUAUUCAUUGAAAAAAUUAUGGUUUGGAGUUAACACGAUGUCGUUUUAGGACUUUUCGAGUAAUAUGUUGUCCUUGCAAGUGUGCAGAGACCGUUGGAGACCCCCAUUCCCAUGCAUGGAAGCAAUGAAACUAUGGCAAGGUUUCACCUAUCCAAUCCCAUGUAUUUUCAUAUUCCGAUGUAAAAAUAAUGCAAAAAUUGCUAAGGCUCUGUUUAAAAAAUUGCUAAAAGUAAUAUAUAUGUAAACAAUGGUGCAAAAUAAAAAUAAUGCAAAAAUUUCCACUUUAGAAACUAAGGCUCUGUUUGGUAAAAAUAAGUUAUAAGCUAGUUGAUAGCUGAUAAGCUAUCUUAUAGCUGAAAAACUAACUUAUAGCUGAAAAACUAGUUGUUUGAAAUUAAAGUGUUUGGUAAAAUUUGCUUUUGAAAUGAGUGAUAAAUAUAAAAUGACAUAAAAGUACAUGUGUCUUUAUUUUUUUUAUAAAUUACAUUUAUAAAUAUUUUCAACUGUUAUAUUUGUCUUAAAUAUUUAAUUUAUUUCAAAGUAUUUUUUAUCUUUAAAAUGAUAAUUGUGAUUUAUGAAUUUAAUUGAUAUAUUUUUUUAACGAAUCUUGUCUAACUUCAUUUUUAUAUUUUUUUAAUGAUUUUUUUCUUUCUAUUUGAAUCAGUAAAUAAGUUAAAAGAAAAAAAAAUGAUAAUAUGAAUAUACAAGUUCAAUAGAAAUAAAGGGAAAAAAAAGAAUUAAAGAAAAAUGAAUAAUAAAGUAGUAACUAAGUGUUUUCUUAAAAAAAAAAAAAAUAUAAAGGAACGUGGGCAGUUUUAUCCUUUUAAGUGGGAAAUUUAUUUUUAUAAAAAAUAAUAUUAAAGGUUAAAAAUGGAAGAAAAUGUAAAAAGCUAUCAGCUAUAAGCUAAAAAGCUAUUUGAAAUAGUUUCUCAAAAAAAGCUAUAAGCUCGUGAGAAAAGUUUAUUAUCAAACACAUCACAUUUUCAUCCAACAAGCUUAUAAGUUAGUCCAACAAACUAUAAGCUAGAUUAUUUGUGUUACCAAACACACCCUAAAUCAAAGUCGUAUUUGUGGACAAAAUGAACGAUUUGUGAAAAUGAUUUUUAUUUUUUUAGUAGAUGACAAUGAAUCAGGUAACAAUUAAACAUGACGAAUAGGGGAUAUAACGCUGUUUGGUACCUGGUGGAUGAGGCAAGGGAAUUAAAGAGCGAUAAAGAGGGUCAAGACAGAAUCAUUUUUUCUAAGUAUGACAAUAAACUAACUCAUAUAAUUGUAGUAGAUAAUAAACUUUGAUUAAAGACGAAUAUUUUUUCUAUCUCCCAAUUAAACUUCGAAUUACUAGGAUUCAAUCUCCUAAAACUUAGAGGGUUAAAUCAAAAAAAGAAAAAAACUAAUAUAACAAUGUAAAAAUAUCUUGUACAUCAAAAUGAAAACUCUUGCAAGAAUUAUAGCUAAUCAUAUAUAGAUCAAAACAAUCAUAGCUGAAUAAACCGUAACUAUAAUUCAUAACUGGAGCUACAUAUCAAUUGUCCCAAAUGAUGUGGGAUACAGGCUGCACAUAUGACAUAUCCAUGUUUAAUUUGUAAUACUAUGUACCAUAUGAAUCAAAGUCUCUUAUUAAUAAAUAUCAAUUAAUUUGUUCUCAGGAUCAGAAUUUACUUUUACAUAAAUCUUACUUUAUUCUAUGACAAGGCUCUAGAGCACAUCAAUAUUCCAUAGAUGUACAAAGGAAUCCCCUAAAGAUUACCCAUUUAUUUGGUUACAGAUACAUAUAUCAAAUUUUACAAUAAGAAUCACAAAUUGUAAACAAGACAAAUAAAAAUCAAUAAAAAGAGAAGUUAAUAAAAACAAGUAAUUUAAGGACAAAAGACAACAUCAUAAGUUGUUCCUCCCAUACAAGAGAAUGUGCUGGUUGCAUCAUCUUUAGGGUAACUAUAAGCAUAAGGGCACCUAUCCUUAAAGAACUUAGAAUAAGUUGUUGGACCACAUGUGGCAGAGGCAUUGGUAGCUGCAGAUCUAGCAGAAUCAGAGUUGCAACAAUAUUCA
rnacentral:lncRNA from 1 species